rnacentral:rRNA from 1 species
CAACUUUCAACAACGGAUCUCUUGGCUCUCGCAUCGAUGAAGAACGCAGCGAAAUGCGAUAAGUAAUGUGAAUUGCAGAAUUCAGUGAAUCAUCGAAUCUUUGAACGCACCUUGCGCCCCUUGGUAUUCCGAGGGGCACGCCUGUUCGAGUGUCGUGAA